GGUUGUGGCUCAGUGGUGGAGUGCUUGCCUAGCAUGUGUGAGGCCCUGGGUUCAAUCCUCAGUACCA
rnacentral:tRNA from 1 species